GUCCCUCCUGUAGGGGAGGGAUAACCCCCUUUACCUGCCGAACCCCGCCAGGCCCGGAAGGGAGCAACGGUAGGCAGGACGUCGGCGCUCACGGGGGUGCGGGACGGAGAAGA
rnacentral:SRP_RNA from 1 species